rnacentral:pre_miRNA from 12 species
AUUCUUGGUCUGAAUCUAGCCUCUACUAGGCUUUGUCUGUGUUGUCUGUAUUACAGUUCUUAACGAUUGUAUAUUCAGACAUAGCCUAAAAGAGGUUAGGUGAAACAGGAAAUA